UCAGUACAGAAAACAAUGCUUGUCCACAAUUUGGUCUAUAUUUUUUUUUCCAAGUUCAUAUAAUUUUCAGGGCUAGUGUGGAAUUUUCUCACUGGAAUUGUUCGCCUUCAUUUUAUACAUAGUUCUAUCCUGAGCCUGAAGUAAAAAAGGAAGAAACCAGAGAGGGUGUAAGGGCAACAAGAGGGAAGCCAGGCAGGCAUUUAUACUUAAGUCUUCCAAAGUGCAACAACUGGAAAAUAAAAGGAUUUACGGGAUGCAGGCUUCUGCUUCUCCUUACCACAGCCACUAUAUCCUGACAGAGGAAAAUCUCUACAUUUAUUGAGAAAAUACUGCUUAAACUCCAGCUCUCAGAAUGGAUUCUAUCCUUGUAUGGAAAAGCCGUGGUGACUUCAGGCUAAGGUCUGAUAAUACUAAGGGCAUCACCCCAGAUUACAACAGUCUGUUAUCUCUGUGCACUGUCUAGCACUGAUGUUUGAGAUUUCCACAGACCUGAACAAGGAAACACACAUUUAUCACAUCCCCAGGAUAAGCCUCAGAUCUGCACCUUUCGUGUAAUAUGGAUAGUAUGGUAAGAUGCAAAAUAAAAAGCUGAAGAAAGCCCAAUGUCUCCCAAAUAUAAGUCCUUUGUGCAGAGUCAAAAUCCAGCAAAGAGGAAAACAUUCAAGUCGAUAACAGGAC
rnacentral:lncRNA from 1 species